AGAGUGAACGCUGGCGGUAGGCCUAACACAUGCAAGUCGAACGGCAGCACAGUGGUAGCAAUACCAUGGGUGGCGAGUGGCGGACGGGUGAGGAAUACAUCGGAAUCUACCUUUUCGUGGGGGAUAACGUAGGGAAACUUACGCUAAUACCGCAUACGCCCUUCGGGGGAAAGCCGGGGAUCGCAAGACCUGGCGCGGAUAGAUGAGCCGAUGUCGGAUUAGCUAGUUGGUGAGGUAAUGGCUCACCAAGGCGACGAUCCGUAGCUGGUCUGAGAGGAUGAUCAGCCACACUGGAACUGAGACACGGUCCAGACUCCGUACGGGAGGCAGCAGGUGGGGAAUAG
rnacentral:rRNA from 1 species